rnacentral:rRNA from 1 species
AUUGAACGCUGGCGGCAGGCCUAACACAUGCAAGUCGAACGAGUGGCGGACGGGUGAGUAAUGUCUGGGAAACUGCCCGAUGGAGGGGGAUAACUACUGGAAACGGUAGCUAAUACCGCAUACCAUCGGAUGUGCCCAGAUGGGAUUAGCUAGUAGGUGGGGUAACGGCUCACCUAGGCGACGAUCCCGAGCUUGUCUGAGAGGAUGACCAGCCACACUGGAACUGAGACCCGGUCCCGACCUCUACGGGGGGCAGCCGGUGGGAAUAUUGCACAAUGGGCGCAAGCCUUAUGCAGCCAGGCCGGGUGUAUGAAGAAGGCCUUCGGGUUGUAAAGUACUUUCAGCGGGGAGGCGUUACCCGCAGAAGAAGCACCGGCUAACUCCGUGCCAGCAGCCGCGGUAAUAC